rnacentral:rRNA from 1 species
UACGUAGGGUGCGAGCGUUGUCCGGAAUUACUGGGCGUAAAGAGCUCGUAGGUGGUUUGUCGCGUUGUUCGUGAAAACUCACAGCUCAACUGUGGGCGUGCGGGCGAUACGGGCAGACUGGAGUACUGCAGGGGAGACUGGAAUUCCUGGUGUAGCGGUGGAAUGCGCAGAUAUCAGGAGGAACACCGGUGGCGAAGGCGGGUCUCUGGGCCGUAACUGACGCUGAGGAGCGAAAGCGUGGGGAGCGAACAGG